rnacentral:tRNA from 1 species
AAGUAUAUAGCUCAAAAAGGUAGAGCAAAUUUUUUUUUAUUUUAGUUUUGAGUUCGAAUCUCAAUAUGCUUU